GGAACUGUAUCAAAUGCCUUGGCAAAAUCCAAAUAGAUCACAUCCACUGCAACACCCUGAUCUAUACUUCUACUUACUUCUUCGUAGAACGCAAUCAAGUUAGUUUGACAUGACCUGUGCUUCAUAAAACCAUGCUGAUUUUUGCUGAUAACCAUGUUCUUCUCAAGUAAUUCUUGAAUAUUAUCCCUUAAUAAACUUUCAAAUAUUUUACCAGCCACAGAAGUUAAG